AAUCCCUUCGCAAACUGAAUCUUAGUGGAUGCCCAAUGGUCAAAUUUCCAGAAAUCCCAGGAAGCUUAAUAAAAUUAAACUUAUCUGGCACUCAAAUUGAAGAAGUGUCGUUGCCUUUCGACUCUCUAUGUAAUCUUCAGCUUUUAAAUAUGAGUAGCUCAGCGGUCAAAAAUGUAUCGAUCAAAUUGGAAUCCCUUCGUAAACUGAAUCUUAGUGGUUGCCCACUGGUCGAAUUUCCAGAAAUCCCGGGAAGCUUAAUAGAAUUAAACUUAUCUGGCACUCAAAUUGAAGAAGUGUCGUUGCCUUUCGACUCUCUAUGUAAUCUUAAGCACUUAAAUAUGAGUGGCUGAGCGGUCAAACAUGUAUCGAUCAAGUUGGAAUCUCUUCAUUAUCUGGAUCAUAGUGGUUGCC
rnacentral:lncRNA from 1 species